AACCAUAGAAACCUGCGGAGUACCUGCGGAGGGAUCAUUACCGAAGUACAGGCCCUUUUACAGGGCUAAACUUCCACCCCUUGUUUACUAUUCUUUGUUGCUUUGGCGAGACGUCUUCGGACCACCGGCUCUUGGGCUGGUGAGCGCUCGCCAGAGGAAAAUCAAACCCAAACCUUUUUUAGUGUCGUCUGAGAAACAAGUUUAAUUAUUAAAACUUUUAACAACGGAUCUCAGAUCGGA
rnacentral:misc_RNA from 1 species